GCAGUCGAGCGGUAACAGGGGAAGCUUGCUUCCCGCUGACGAGCGGCGGACGGGUGAGUAAUGCUUAGGAAUCUGCCCAGUAGUGGGGGAUAGCCCGGGGAAACCCGGAUUAAUACCGCAUACGUCCUACGGGAGAAAGCAGGGGAUCUUCGGACCUUGCGCUAUUGGAUGAGCCUAAGUCGGAUUAGCUAGUUGGUGGGGUAAAGGCCUACCAAGGCGACGAUCCGUAGCUGGUCUGAGAGGAUGAUCAGCCACAUCGGGACUGAGACACGGCCCGAACUCCUACGGGAGGCAGCAGUGGGGAAUAUUGGACAAUGGGGGCAACCCUGAUCCAGCCAUGCCGCGUGUGUGAAGAAGGCUUUCGGGUUGUAAAGCACUUUCAGUAGGGAGGAAAACCUUAUGGUUAAUACCCAUGAGGCUUGACGUUACCUACAGAAGAGGCACCGGCUAACUCCGUGCCGGCAGCCGCGGUAAUACGGAGGGUGCAGGCGUUAAUCGGAAUUACUGGGCGUAAAGCGCGCGUAGGUGGUUUGGUAAGCGAGAUGUGAAAGCCUCGGGCUUAACCUGGGAACGGCAUUUCGAACUGUCAGACUAGAGUGUGGUAGAUGGUA
rnacentral:rRNA from 2 species